UACGUAGGGCGCAAGCGUUGUCCGGAAUUAUUGGGCGUAAAGAGCUCGUAGGCGGCUUGUCACGUCGGAUGUGAAAGCCCGGGGCUUAACUCCGGGUCUGCAUCCGAUACGGGCUGGCUAGAGUGUGGUAGGGGAGAUCGGAAUUCCUGGUGUAGCGGUGAAAUGCGCAGAUAUCAGGAGGAACACCGGUGGCGAAGGCGGAUCUCUGGGCCACUACUGACGCUGAGGAGCGAAAGCGUGGGGAGCGAACAGG
rnacentral:rRNA from 1 species